rnacentral:rRNA from 1 species
GAUGAACGCUAGCUACAGGCUUAACACAUGCAAGUCGAGGGGAAACGAUAUUGGAAGCUUGCUUCCGAUAGGCGUCGACCGGCGCACGGGUGAGUAACGCGUAUCCAACCUGCCCAUCACUUGGGGAUAACCUUGCGAAAGUAAGACUAAUACCCAAUGACGUCUCUAGAAGACAUCUGAAAGAGAUUAAAGAUUUAUCGGUGAUGGAUGGGGAUGCGUCUGAUUAGCUUGUUGGCGGGGUAACGGCCCACCAAGGCGACGAUCAGUAGGGGUUCUGAGAGGGUGAACGGCCACAUUGGGACUGAGACACGGCCCAAACUCCUACGGGAGGCAGCAGUGGGGAAUAUUGCACAAUGGGGGAAACCCUGAUGCAGCAACGCCGCGUGAAGGAAGAAGGCUUUCGGGUUGUAAACUUCUUUUACCAGGGACGAAGAAAGUGACGGUACCUGGAGAAAAAGCCACGGCUAACUACGUGCCAGCAGCCGCGGU